rnacentral:rRNA from 1 species
GUGUCAGCCGCCGCGGUAAUACGUAGGGUGCAAGCGUUAAUCGGAAUUACUGGGCGUAAAGCGUGCGCAGGCGGUGAUGUAAGACAGUCGUGAAAUCCCCGGGCUCAACCUGGGAAUUGCGAUUGUGACUGCAUCGCUGGAGUGCGGCAGAGGGGGAUGGAAUUCCGCGUGUAGCAGUGAAAUGCGUAGAGAUGUGGAGGAACACCGAUGGCGAAGGCAGCCCCCUGGGCCAAUACUGACGCGCAUGCACGAAAUGGCGGGUAGCGAACAGGAUUAGAGAAGCUGGUAGGCCACGCCCUAA